GGUGGUUUAGCUCAGCGGCAUAAGCACCUGCCUUGCAAGCAGGUGGUCGUGAGUUCAAUCCCCAGUACCAAUA
rfam:Cavia porcellus supercont2_156 genomic scaffold, whole genome shotgun sequence.